UUGUUAUCCACGAGAGCCUCAUUUCUGACACCCUUCCACCCCUCAGCAAUUUGUUGAAGUUUGGAGUGACUCUGACAUCUUUCAGCUUUUAGCACUCUCUCCUUACCUUCUGAGCUGUUCUUCACUCUGUGGCCAGAGUCCGUCUUGCCUUUGGUGGGUAGGGCACUGGAGUGCCUGAGGAUUAAUGAACUGUCUCUGUCUUUUUAUCCACCUGGUUUUCCUUUUAGCCACCUGGCAGUGGUAGAUUGGUAAAACCGGAGGGAAAGUUCUGUCAGUUUGCAGACCAAGUGUGGGACGUGCCCAGAUACUGAGUCAUUGCUUUGUCAGUGUUAUCUAACUAUUGGCCUGAAGACUGGCACCAGCUCACCUAUCUAUUAUUAAAGAGCUUUCAUCCUUACAUAUAAACUCAGUUAUGCUAGGUAAGAUGAAUGAAUAGAGAACAGUGUCACCAACCUACUUCCUGUUUUAUUUCAGUGGUACAUUUAUACAAUAUAUUUCUAUACAAUUUUGUAAUCUUUACUAAGGAACUUUAAAUAAUUUAAAUGGCUCAUACAUAGUGAAGAACUUAGAUAUUUUAGAGGUCUGAUUUGGGGGUUGGGAAAAACUGCUAAGACUGGUGGUCACAGCCAGCAUGGUGGCUCACGCCUGUAAUCCCAGCACUUUGGGAGGCCGAGGCAGGUGGAUCAUGAGGUCGGGAGUUCAAGAUCAGCCUGGCCAACAUGGUGAAACCCCGUCUCUACUCAAAAUACAAAACUUAGCCAGGCGUGGUGGCAUGCGCCUGUAAUCGCAGCUACUUGGGAGGCUGAGGCAGGAGAAUGGCUUGAACCUGGGAGGCGGAGGUUGUGGUGAGCUGAGAUUGCACCACUGCCCUCCAGCCUGGGCAACAGAGAGAGACUCUGUCUCAAAAAAAAAAAAAAAAAAGCCAAAAAAUUGGUGGUCACAGGGUCUUACUCUAUUCAUAUCUUCCCACAGGAUGCGGUUUGUAUUACCCAAGUAAGCCUCAAUUAGAAUGAAAUAGGCCUUUUCCCCACCAGCUGUAGGUUUGUAAGCUGUAAGCUACUUUUAAGCUGGCCUCCUUCAGGCAUUCAUGCAAAAAUGACAUCUAUUGUAAUCAUUAGCAGGACUUUGGGGAAUAAGAAAUAGAAGCCUCGUGUAGCUUAUUAGUAGGGCUCUAUUAGGCCUGCAUUUACCACCUUUCCACUCCUGUGUGGACCCUGGCAGAUGCUUGGAGACAUUUGUUCAUCUGCUCUUUAUCUAGAUCACUUCAGCAUCGGUGAGGUUGGUCUCUCAAGAACCUAAAGCUCUGGUCAGUGAAUGGAAGGAGCCUCAGGCCAAGAACAUCAGUGUGGCCUCCUGCAACAGCAGCCAGGUGGUGGUGGCUGUGGGCAGGGCCCUCUACUAUCUGCAGAUCCAUCCUCAGGAGCUCCGGCAGAUCAGCCACACAGAGAUGGAACAUGAAGUGGCUUGCUUGGACAUCACCCCAUUAGGAGACAGCAAUGGACUGUCCCCUCUUUGUGCCAUUGGCCUCUGGACGGACAUCUCGGCUCGUAUCUUGAAGUUGCCCUCUUUUGAACUACUGCACAAGGAGAUGCUGGGUGGAGGUAUGUGUCAUUUAGGGACCUGGGUUGGGACAGAGUCAAAAUGUGGAACAAGAACAUAAUGUCCCCCUUUCUCACAGAGAUCAUUCCUCGUUCCAUCCUGAUGACCACCUUUGAGAGUAGCCAUUACCUCCUUUGUGCCUUGGGAGAUGGAGCACUUUUCUACUUUGGGCUCAACAUUGAGACAGGUGAGAGUAGUAUUUUGAGUGAGGGACUCUUUCAAAAAUAGAGUAUUAGAAUUACACAGAAUUCUUAGUCCCAGGGUUCUGCUUUUGAACUUUCACAGGCCAGCUGUUUGUCCUGUUUUCUUUCUUCCUUUCUCCUGAUGUCAUUCUCUCUGUAGGUCUGUUGAGCGACCGUAAGAAGGUGACUUUAGG
rnacentral:sRNA from 1 species